GCCCAGCCGGUUGCGGCCAGUCGCGGCUCCAGGCAGUAGGGCGCCUGGCCCGGGGCGCGCGUGCCCAGGAGAGGAACAUAUGAAAUCUCAAUGAAUGCCUGUGUGUAACUGAAGAGGCUGACUCGAGGGGGAGAGAUGUUUGAGCAUCUGUCUGGUACAUUUCCACACCUCCCACCUAGCCCAUCGGUGCAGCCUUGGGUGCCCUAAUGGGCUUUGAGCCUGGAGUGUGAUGGCGCCAGGACCAGCUUCUCCAGCUCAGGCUACCUGACCCGGCUGGGUAUGAAGCAUGCUGCCUUCUGGUAGAGUUUGUGCAUCUUAGCUGAGUCCCCUGGCUGUCAGAAAGCAAUAAAUUCUCAGUAGAAAGACAGUCCACAUUUCUAGGAAUUCCUACAAGAAAACAAGGAAAAUAUUAACUUUGGAAGAGUAAUGAAGAGCUUUCCAGAAAACAAAUUAAGUUAAAGCAGGAAUAUGAAUAUGGGAUGACCACACUCACUGAAUAUGGGAUCACUGAAUAUGGGAUGACCUCACUCUCAGGCAUAAAUUGAAAAACAAGAUCAGAAGAGAAAACACAAGUAGAACUUGAACUGGAGUUGGUGUAUUGCACCAAAGUAAAAGACUCUGGGCGGGGGGGGGGGGGGGGGGGGGGGUACAGAUGACAGUGGAACUAAUGGGGGUUGUAUUGUUAUGUGGAAAACUGAUGUUUUGUGGAAACUGAUGUUAUGAAAACUGAUGCUAUGUGGAAAACUGAGAAAUGAUAUGCAUGUACAAACUAUUGUAUUUACUGUCGAAUGUAAAACAUUAAUCCUCCAAUAAAUUAAAAAAAAAAGAAAUCCAUGAAAAAAAAAAAAAAGCAGUUCAUUACCACUAAGCUGACCCUACAAGGAAUACUAAAGCCACAUGUUAAAUGAAAAGUAUUAAUCAACAUUACUCAUAAAAGGUAAAUAAAAAAACAACAAUG